AUACUAUGAUGUUUUUAUGACUUUUUUUGCCUUACUAUACUAUGAUGUUUUUAUGACUUUUUAUGCCUGAGUAUA